rnacentral:rRNA from 1 species
AACGGCCGCGGUAUUCUGACCGUGCAAAGGUAGCAUAAUCAUUAGUCUUUUAAUAGAGGGCUGGAAUGAAAGGUUUGACAAAGAAUUGACUGUCUCAUUUUAAUAUUUUAAAAUUUAUCUUUUAAGUCAAAAGACUUAAAUUUUAUUGGAAGACGAGAAGACCCUAUAGAGCUUUAUGAUUGUUUAUUUAAAAUGGUUUAGACUAUAAGUUUAUUUUGUUUAAACUUUUAUUUUGUUGGGGUGACAGUAGAAUAUAAUUAACUUUUAUGUUUUAUUUAACAUUAAUAUAUGAUUAUUAGAUCCUUUAUUAUUGAUUUUUAGACUGAGUUACCUUAGGGAUAACAGCGUUAUCUUCUUUUAGAGUUCAAAUUUACAAGGAGGCUUGCGACCUCGAUGUUGGAUUAAGAUUAUAAUUGGGUGUAGUAGCUUGAUUAAUAGGUCUGUUCGAC